UUCAAGCCUAAUAGAGUAGAUCACUUAUUUUCUAACAACUUGACAAAAGUUUUCUAUUUUUUCUUCUUUCUUCUUCCUCUCUCUUUUUUUUUUCUUCCUUUCUCUCGGAUUCUUCCGUGCCGUCUCCAAUUCUUCUAUACAUAUGGAUGCAAAUGAAGAGUCAAGGCAAAGGGAUUAGAAUGUGGACAUUUGGACUCCACUAACUUAUUUUUGCAAAGGAAGUCCUUAUUCUUCAAUUUAAUAUAAUAUCUAGUCCUUGACUUCCAAUAAUAUAUAAUUAGAUCCCUAAAAUUAAGUUUUAUCCAUUUUAAGCCUUUAACUAUUUUUCAUAAUAAAUUAAACCCCCAAUAAAAUAAUUUAUUUCAUUUAAAUCCGUAUUUGACAUUGACUUUGACCAAUUGAAUUUUAGACUUUGACUAAAUAAUUUUCUUGACUUUGACUAUGAGUGAGUGGGUUAUAACACACAAGUAGGCUAUAUAAACAAAUUGCUCAAAGCCCAUCUUAUUAUUUAUCUAAAUUUGAUACACUGUACAUAUGAAGGUCUUCAAAAUUGUAUUUAUUUUUUUUAUUUUUUUUUGGUUUUGUUCAUUUGUUCAUUGAAUUGAGGAUAUGAUGUAUAUUUUAAUAUGAAAUUUGUGAGAUUGAACUGAGGCUUUGUUCAUUGAACUAAGACUAUGAUGUAAAUUUGUAAUAUAAAAUUUGUGAGAUUGAAUCGAGGCUAUGAUGCUCAUUGUUAUGUAAUUGUUUUUUUGUUUUGUUCAUUCUCUCUUCGAGGUUAAGGGGCAGCUUGUAAUAGGCGGGAGAAAUCAUGGAGUAUGUCAUAGUUGUAAGUGUAGCAGUCACCUCUUCGUUGAUUUCCCAAAUAAACGAUCAUGCCCAUCAUGCAAACAUUCAUUUGUAAAAUGUUUUGAGGUGGAGAAGGAUACGGAGCACAAACGUAAAUGGUUCAAUUGUUGCAGCGCGAACUCUGGCUAUUGGAAGUGGUUUAAAGUAGGAGAAACAAGUGGUGAAUCAAAGAAUGUUUGCAGUACAUCUACUAAGCCUUUGGCGAACAAAUUAGAUGAAGAUAUAUUUGGUGUGUUCCAAACCAUGUGUCACCUAAGCCACGAGAAAGAUGUGGAUAUUUCCGUGAACUACGUAAAGGAAAUGCUGUUGCGGAGGGGAAUAAGAAGUGAAAAGUGUGGGCCUACUUUUGUUGUUGUUGAUGUGUUUGCCUAACAUUUCGCAUAUUUGGAGUCUGUAAUUGCAUGCCUAUCAUUUUGUUAUUUAGUUUAUGUGGUCAAUGGAAUUGGGUGUCUAUCAUUUGGUUAUUUAGCUUUUAUGGUGAAUGUAAUGUCAUGCCUAUCACUUGGUUACUUAGCCUAUCGUUUUGUUGAUGAAACUGUGUUGAGAAAAACUAAGUACUCACAUGUGAUGUUAAGAAACAGAC
rnacentral:lncRNA from 1 species